GACGCCGGCUGUCAGUUCAUUUGCCGCGGCAGAGCAACAACUGGCUUCUUUCAGCGCUGGGAGCGGAGAGGGGAAGGCGAGAGCAGAGGGAAGAGUGGAAGAAGAAAAAGUGGUAGGGGACGAGAAGGAGAAGAAGAGGUGGAAAAAGAGGAGGAGGAGGAGGAGGAGGAGGAGAUCUUUUGUUAAGCAUCCAUCCCUCCCCUCAUCCCUCUCUGGCAGCAGCAGCAGCAGCAGCAGCAUCAGCACCACUGCCUCCAUCACCACCGCCGCCGCCACCACUCCCGCUGCUGGAUCCUCCGUCUCCUGCCGGGAUCUGCCUCCUCCUUCUCCUCAGGGAGCUCUUCCUGGAACUGGGAGGGGGAGGGAGAUCACCACCUCCCAGCUUGCUGCGGACCCUCGGCAAGGCAUCAGGAGGAGAGGAGGAAGGAAGGAAGGGGAGGGAAUUUUAGAAGAGGCCGUCAGGAGAGCAGAGGAGAGGCAACACCCUGGGUUACAGGAGAGCAGAGGAGGGGAGAAGAAAAGAGGAUCUCAUUACGCCCGGGUAGGACCGGCGCAGGAGCGGUGACGGCAGCAGCCAAAGCUGGAUGAGGACUUCCAGAAGACAGGGGGCAACGCUGGCAGGCCGCGGUUCCAGAGGAGCCAUUGAUGGAACCUUGCCUCACGCUGCAGCGAGGCGUCUUCAAUCAAUGCGACUGCCCCACUUUCUCUAUAUGUGUAUGUGUCUGUUUGCCACUGGAGCCUGAAGGGGGGCUGCCGAUGGCCAUGGUGGUGAUGGUGGUGGUGGUGAUGAUGAUGAUGCAAUGGCAGUGGUGCUGCUCACGUGGUUUCUGGCUUAGCUCCCCCUUGUUUACUGAAAGACUCUCUUCGGUGACGGGUAUUCUUGGGUGGAUAAUACGGAUCACGUUGUUAUUGCUUAAGAAUACGCGUAGUCGAGGAGAGUCCUCUCUUCGCCCAGCAACACCCCCUCCCCCCAUCCCCCGACACCCACCCACCC